GAAGUCUUGGAGAAGCAGGGAGUCUGGGGAAAAUCAGGGUUUCUGGGGAUGAGCAGGAAGUCUGGGGAGAAGGGUGGAGUCUGGUAUCGAACUUGGAGUAUAGAAAGGAACUAGCCACUAAGUAGGAAGGGAGCUUGGUGAAGAUCAGGGAGCCUGGAACAGUUUAGAAUUAUUAGAGUGAGCUAGUGGCCUGGGAGGAAAAGGGAGCUUGGGACAGAGAAUGGAUCUUUCGAAGGAACGGGUUGCCUUGUAGGGUAAGGGAGCUUGGGAAGAAACAG